GAUGAAGAACGUAGCGAAAUGCGAUAAGUAAUGUGAAUUGCAGAAUUCAGUGAAUCAUCGAAUCUUUGAACGCACAUUGCGCCCGUCAGUAUUCUGGCGGGCAUGCCUGUUCGAGCGUCAUUUCAACCCUCAAGCACAGCUUGGUGUUGGGACUCGCGUUAAUUCGCGUUCCCCAAAUUGAUUGGCGGUCACGUCGAGCUUCCAUAGCGUAGUAGUAAAACCCUCGUUACUGGUAAUCGUCGCGGCCACGCCGUUAAACCCCAACUUCUGAAUGUUGACCUCGGAUCAGGUAGGAAUACCCGCUGAACUUAAGCAUAUCAAUAAGCGGAGGA
rnacentral:misc_RNA from 1 species